rnacentral:rRNA from 1 species
GCGCGAAACCUUUACAAUGCACGCAAGUGUGAUAAGGGAAUCCCUAGUGCCCAUGUACUGCAUGGGCUUUUGCUAAGUGUAAAUAGCUUGGCGAAUAAGUGGUGGGUAAGACUGGUGCCAGCCGCCGCGGUAACACCAGCGCCACGAGUGGUAACCACGUUUAUUGGGCCUAAAGCGUCCGUAGCCGGUUUGAUAAAUCUUUUGUGAAAUUGUACAGCUUAACUGUACAGCGUGCAAGAGACACUGUCAAACUUGAGACCGGGAGGAGUCAGAAGUAUUCUGGGGGGAGCGGUAAAAUGUUGUAAUCCCCGGAGGACUACCUGUGGCGAAGGCGUCUGACUAGAACGGAUUCGACGGUGAGGAACGAAGGCUGGGGGAGCAAACCGGAUUAGAUACCCGAGUAGUCCCAGCAGUAAACGCUGCGAGCUAGGUGUUGCAUAUUCUCCGUGAGUAUGCAGUGUCGAAGCGAAGGUGAUAAGCUCGCCGCCUGGGAAGUACGGUCGCAAGACUGAGACUUAAAGGAAUUGG